ensembl:lncRNA
GCUGGCGCCCUCUGCAGGACCGGCUCGGGCUCUCCGGAACGGUCAGCCCGGCCCCUGCGUGCCCAAACAGGACUCGGUCUCACUGCAGGUGCGGCUGGUGGCCUGUACAGGACCAGCUCAGGCUCGCCGGACUGGUCACCCGGACCCCUGCGUGCCCCCACCGGACUCGGCCUCCUCCGCAGCUGCGGCUGGAGCAUGCUGAAGGAGCCGGUCCCGGUCGCCGGACCGCUCAGACCGGCCCGUGCGGGCCCGCACAGCACUCGGUCACACUAAAGCCGCAGCUGGCUCCCUCUGCACGACCGGCUCGGGCUCGCCAGACCGGUCAGACCGGCCCCUGGGGACCCCCACAACACUUGGUCACACUAAAGCCGCAGCUGGAGGCCUCUGCAGGACCGGCUCGGGCUUGCCAGACCGGUCGGCCCAGCCCCUGCGUGCCCCACAGGACUCGGUCUCACUGCAGGUGCGGCUGCAGGCCUCUGCAGGACCGGCUCGGGCUCUCCGGAACGGUCAGCCCGGCCCCUGCGUGCCCCCACCCGACUCGGCCUCCUCCGCAGCUGCGGCUGGAGCAUGCUGAAGGAGCCGGUCCCGGUCGCCGGACCGGUCGGAACGGCCCCUGCGGGCCCGCACAGCACUCGGUCACACUAAAGCCGCAGCUGGCGCCCUCUGCAGGACCGGCUCGGGCUCGCCAGACCGGUCGGACCGGCCCCUGGGACCCCCACAACACUUGCUCACACUAAAGCCGCAGCUGGAGGCCUCUGCAGGACCGGCUCGGGCUCUCCGGAACGGUCAGCCCGGCCCCUGCGUGCCCCACAGGACUCGGUCUCACUGCAGGUGCGGCUGGUGGCCUCUACAGGACCAGCUCAGGCUCGCCGGACGGUCACCCGGACCCCUGCGUGCCCCCACCGGACUCGGCCUCCUCCGCAGCUGUGGCUGGAGCAUGCUGAAGGAGCCGGUCCUGGUCGCCGGACCGGUCAGACCGGCCCCUGCGGGCCCGCACAGCACUCGGUCACACUAAAGCCGCAGCUGGCUCCCUCUGCACGACCGGCUCGGGCUCGCCAGACCGGUCGACCGGCCCCUGGGGACCCCCACAACACUUGGUCACACUAAAGCCGCAGCUGGAGGCCUCUGCAGGACCGGCUCGGGCUCUCCGGAACUGUCGGCCCGGCCCCUGUGUGCCCCACAGGACUCGGUCUCACUGCAGGUGCGGCUGGUGGCCUCUGCAGGACCGGCUCGGGCUCUCCGGAACUGUCGGCCCGGCCCCUGUGUGCCCCACAGGACUCGGUCUCACUGCAGGUGCGGCUGGUGGCCUGUACAGGACCAGCUCAGGCUCGCCGGACUGGUCACCCGGACCCCUGCGUGCCCCCACCGGACUCGGCCUCCUCCGCAGCUGUGGCUGGAGCAUGCUGAAGGAGCCGGUCCUGGUCGCCGGACCGGUCAGACCGGCCCGUGCGGGCCCGCACAGCACUCGGUCACACUAAAGCCGCAGCGGGCUCCCUCUGCACGACCGGCUCGGGCUCGCCAGACCGGUCAGACCGGCCCCUGGGGACCCCCACAACACUUGGUCACACUAAAGCCGCAGCUGGAGGCCUCUGCAGGACCGGCUCGGGCUCUCCGGAACUGUCGGCCCGGCCCCUGUGUGCCCAACAGGACUCGGUCUCACUGCAGGUGCGGCUGGUGGCCUCUACAGGACCAGCUCAGGCUCGCCGGACUGGUCACCCGGACCCCUGCGUGCCCCCACCGGACUCGGCCUCCUCCGCAGCUGUGGCUGGAGCAUGCUGAAGGAGCCGGUCCUGGUCGCCGGACCGCUCAGACCGGCCCGUGCGGGCCCGCACAGCACUCGGUCACACUAAAGCCGCAGCUGGCUCCCUCUGCAGACCGGCUCGGGCACGCCAGACCGGUCAGA